rnacentral:tRNA from 1 species
ACACCAGUGGUGUAGUGGUAUCAUGCAAGAUUCCCAUUCUUGCGACCCGGGUUCGAUUCCCGGCUGGUGCA